UGGGGAAUAUUGCACAAUGGGCGAAAGCCUGAUGCAGCAACGCCGCGUGAGUGAUGAAGGUCUUCGGAUUGUAAAGCUCUGUCUUUUGGGACGAUAAUGACGGUACCAAAGGAGGAAGCCACGGCUAACUACGUGCCAGCAGCCGCGGUAAUACGUAGGUGGCGAGCGUUGUCCGGAUUUACUGGGCGUAAAGGGUGCGUAGGCGGAUGUUUAAGUGAGAUGUGAAAUACCCGGGCUUAACUUGGGUGCUGCAUUUCAAACUGGAUAUCUAGAGUGCAGGAGAGGAGAAUGGAAUUCCUAGUGUAGCGGUGAAAUGCGUAGAGAUUAGGAAGAACACCAGUGGCGAAGGCGAUUCUCUGGACUGUAACUGACGCUGGGCAGCGAAGCAGUGGGUAGCAAACAGGAUUAGAUACCCUGGUAGUCCACGCCGUAAACGAUGAGUACUAGGUGUAGGAGGUAUCGACCCCUUCUGUGCCGCAGUAAACACAUUAAGUACUCCGCCUGGGAAGUACGAUCGCAAGAUUAAAACUCUAAAGUGAAUUGACGGGGUC
rnacentral:rRNA from 1 species